rnacentral:tRNA from 1 species
AUUUAAAUAGUUUAAGAAAAAUAUUGAUUUGUGGAGUCAGAGAUAUCAUAUUUUGAUUUUAAAUA